rnacentral:rRNA from 1 species
CUACGGGAUGCUCCAGUGAGGAAUAUUGCACAAUGGGGGGAACCCUGAUGCAGCAACGCCGCGUGGAGGAUGACGCAUUUCGGUGUGUAAACUCCUUUUAUAUGUCAAGAAAAUGACGGUAGCAUAUGAAUAAGCACCGGCUAACUCCGUGCCAGCAGCCGCGGUAAUACGGAGGGUGCAAGCGUUACUCGGAAUCACUGGGCGUAAAGGACGCGUAGGCGGGUUGGAAAGUCAGGUGUGAAAUCCUACAGCUUAACUGUAGAACUGCACUUGAAACUUCUAAUCUAGAGUAUGGGAGGGGGAGAUGGAAUUAGUGGUGUAGGGGUAAAAUCCGUAGAUAUCACUAGGAACUACUAAAGUGAAGGCGAUCUCCUGGAACAUUACUGACGCUAAGGCGCGAAAGCGUGGGGAGCAAACAGGAUUAGAUACCCGAGUAGUC